CGAACGCUGCGGCGUGCCUAAUACAUGCAAGUAGAACGCUGAAGGAGGAGCUUGCUCUUCUGGAUGAGUUGCGAACGGGUGAGUUAACGCGUAGGUAACCUGCCUGGUAGCGGGGAUAACUAUUGGAAACGAUAGCUAAUACCGCAUAACAGUAGAUGUUGCAUGACAUUUGCUUAAAAGGUGCAAUUGCAUCACUACCAGAUGGACCUGCGUUGUAUUAGCUAGUUGGUGAGGUAACGGCUCACCAAGGCAACGAUACAUAGCCGACCUGAGAGGGUGAUCGGCCACACUGGGACUGAGACACGGCCCAGACUCCUACGGGAGGCAGCAGUAGGGAAUCUUCGGCAAUGGGCGGAAGUCUGACCGAGCAACGCCGCGUGAGUGAAGAAGGUUUUCGGAUCGUAAAGCUCUGUUGUAAGAGAAGAACGAGUGUGAGAGUGGAAAGUUCACACUGUGACGGUAUCUUACCAGAAAGGGACGGCUAACUACGUG
rnacentral:rRNA from 1 species